GACGUAGGGGGCCAGCGUUGUUCGGAAUUACUGGGUGUAAAGGGUUCGUAGGCGGUGCGGCAAGUUGGGAGUGAAAUCUCUGGGCCUUAACCCAGAGGCUGCUUCCAAAACUGCUGUGCUUGAGUGUGGGAGAGGCGCGUGGAAUUGCAGGUGUAGCGGUGAAAUGCGUAGAUAUCUGCAGGAACACCCGUGGCGAAAGCGGAUCUCUGGGCCAUUAUUGACGCUGAGGAGCGAAAGCGUGGGGAGCGAACAGG
rnacentral:rRNA from 1 species